UGGGGAAUAUUGCACAAUGGGCGAAAGCCUGAUGCAGCAACGCCGCGUGAGCGAUGAAGGCCUUCGGGUCGUAAAGCUCUGUCCUCAAGGAAGAUAAUGACGGUACUUGAGGCGGAAGCCCCGGCUAACUACAUGCCAGCAGCCGCGGUAAUACGUAGCGGGCUAGCGUUCUCCGGAUUUACUGGGCGUACAGGGUGCGUAGGCGGUCUUUUAAGUCAGGAGUGAAAGGCUACGGCUCAACCGUAGUAAGCGCUUGACACUGGAGGACUUGAGUGCAGGAGAGGAGAGUGGAAUUCCUAGUGUAGCGGUGAAAUGCGUAGAUAUUAGGAGGAACACCAGUAGCGGAGGCGGCUCUCUGGACUGUAACUGACGCUGAGGCACGAAAGCGUGGGGGGCAAACA
rnacentral:rRNA from 1 species